rnacentral:misc_RNA from 1 species
CUGGCAUCAUCAUCACAUCAACUUUUGAAACCAGAAACUGUGGACAACUAUCAAUUAAAUUAAACAAAGAUCCAACUCUACACAGAGUUUCAGGCUCUUAGCCUUUUCAGUCCGUCAAAUUCUACAAAAGNNNNNNNNNACCAAAGGAGAAAAUAAAAACAGAAAAAAAAAAACACUGGAAACAGAUUCAAGGACCAUCU